rnacentral:rRNA from 1 species
GAUGAACGCUGGCGGCGUGCCUAAUACAUGCAAGUCGAGCGAACGGACGAGAAGCUUGCUUCUCUGAUGUUAGCGGCGGACGGGUGAGUAACACGUGGAUAACCUACCUAUCAGACUGGGAUAACUUCGGGAAACCGUAGCUAAUACCGGAUAAUAUUUUGAACCGCAUGGUUCAAAAGUGAAAGACGGUCUUGCUGUCACUUAUAGAUGGAUCCGCGCUGCAUUAGCUAGUUGGUAAGGUAACGGCUUACCAAGGCAACGAUGCAUAGCCGACCUGAGAGGGUGAUCGGCCACACGAGAACGGAGACACGGUCCAGAGUCCUACGGGAGGCAGCAGUAGGGAAUCUGCCGCAAUGGGCGAGAGCCUGACGGAGCAACGCCGCGUGAGUGAUGAAGGUCUUCGGAUCGUAAAACUCUGUUAUUAGGGUAGAACAUAUGUGUAAGUAACUGUGCACAUCUUGACGGUACCUAAUCAGAAAGCCACGGCUAACUACGUG